rnacentral:lncRNA from 1 species
UUUUGCCAGUGUGUAAUUCUCUCCCCUGGAGUGUGCUGGCCUUGUGAGUUGCUUCCAGCCAACAUAAUAUGUUCCUUGCUUUGAUGAAGCAAGCUGCCAUGUUGGAGACAAAUGACUGAGGACAAUGUCCGGCCAACAAGCAGAAAGGAAAUGAAUCUACCACCAACUAUGUGGACAUGGAAGUGGAUUCUUUUCCUGUUGAGCCUUCUGAUGACUCCAGCUCAGCCGAUGCCUUGAUGCAGCUAGAAAUAAUGCAGCAGACAGCCAUGGGAGAAGCCUGGAGAGCAGUAAGAGGAAGGAGAACUCAUGACUUAUCCAGGACCCCAGAACUGGAGGAACAGCAGAGCAGCAGGGCAUCUCAGCUCCUCAACCCAACAUAAAAAGGCCACCUAGACUCAGCAUUUCCCCACCCCCAAACCAGCAACAUUUGACAGUUCAAGUAGGAACAUAUUUCCCUGGGCUGACCUGAGAUCUCUGGCACCUCCAGCAAGGGGGAUCAAAAUGGACUCUUGACAAUAGCAAGCAGCCAGGGCACCCACUCUCCUCUACUGGCUCCAAGACUGUCUUUUGCCAGCAGGAGACACUGACACUCUCGGGGAAAACCAGCAAGAGGUACCUUGACAGAAGAGGGACCUGGCCCAGGAAGUCUCUUCCCCAUCCCUGCAGGCCAGAGACUCCCCUGUUCUGUGCAAAACACAAGAUCAACAGCCAGAGGGGCUUGACACAAGCAGUGUGACCAGUGAUGGCUUUGUCUUAAAGAGACAGAGACACUCCCCUUUUCAGCACAGAGACUGGGGGGCUGCCGAGGACAGUUGCAAAAAGGACUCCACCCAAAACUGGAAACAGCCCAUAUGUCCCUCGACAAAUGAAUGGCUAAACAAACUGGUGCAUUCAGACAUAAUAGAAUAGCUGUCCGGGAUCACUCUCUCUGUGUGCUUACAGAGCAGCACAGAAAACUUACAAGUGUUUCUUCUCAUCACUUCCUCCUCCCAUGCUGUUCUUGUCCAGCAUUUUUUUUAACCUUCUGAUGUUGUUACCCACAAAAUUAGUCAUUGCCAAUAGUGCUGAUUUUAUUUAUGAGCAAUAUAUCAAUAAGUUACUGAAAUAUUGACAUAUUUUUGAUUUAAAAUUCUGGAAUAUAGACAAAGAUACGAAAUAUUGUUUAAAUAAUGAAGAUGAAUGAAAAAUACAAUGAGAAAGUUUAUUAUUUUAUUAGAUUCUGGAGAAGAUAAUAAAAGCAAUUGGUAGAGAUGAUAUUUAAAGAUAUAUACAUGAAGAUUUUCCUGAAUAGAUGAAGCUUUCAAAUUCAGGAACGUGUCUCUUUCAUCAGGCUGUUUGAAAAAUGUUUCUUCAUAGUUUUGCAGCUGCCUAAUAAUGUGCUUACUGUAAAAUGAAGGAGAAAGAUGUACCAUGCAAAUGGUUCUGCUUGCUAUUGCUGCAUUAUUUAGGGAUUUAAAGAUUUUGUUGUUGUUAUUUGUUGUUGCUGUUGUUCUGCCGAGAUGCCUUAAAUCUCAGGUAGCAUGGGAAAUUAAACUCUGCCGCUUCGCUAGGUAAUAUAGGAUUUGUCUUGAAAUGAACAUGGAAUCAAAAAGCAAAGUGCUUUUUUCUUCUUCUCUUAGAACUGUUUCCAAUGAUGAAAAUUUUGACCCAUAACAUUCACCUGUUCAUUUUAUUAUCCCACAGAUACAUGUAUUUUUGUGCUGCUAUAUUAAAAAAACACUGCAGCCAUGAUGAAUUCUCCCCUGCCCCCACAUUAUUCUCUCUCUGUCUCUUACACACACACACACACACACACACACACACACACACACACACACACGAUAACUUUGGUUGUCUGCAUUAGUUUCUCCUUAUGUCAAACACCAUUUAUCCAUUUUUUCUUUCUGGAAGGCUUGACUACACUGAUCAUGAAUUAUAUACUUCCUGCAACUAGUAUUGUCUAUGGCAAACUGAUCACCAGUAAUAAUCACUUGGUAUUCUGUAUAUACCACAGCACAGGGAUAAAACACAGCCAAAGAAUUUAUUAGAAACACAAGCAAAUCUGGCAUUAGCUUCCUUCUAAUUGAUGAUAAUUAGACAAACUAUUUUAACAUAAUUAUUCAGGUACAGGUACAAGGCAUGUUGAAACAAGUUACUUGCAUUCUAAGUUUCCAUAUGUGGAAAGCUUUACUGGAGAGCUAUAUAUAUAUAUGUAUGUAUAUAUGGAGAUAGAGUAAGAGAAAGAGAGAGAGAAAGAGAAAGGGGAGGGAGAGGAAAUGUUUCUUGUGCAAUAGUAUCAUAAAUUGAAUACUAAUUUUAGAUCAUUUUGCAUUUGCUCAAUGAGCAACAACUGAGCAUGCCUGGUUUGCAAAUUCAAGAGUAUCUCAGCAGAGAUCAUUUUUCAUUCUUUGUCUCUAAACUGAUUUAAUGCUACCUAAUAAGCACCUGUACUUCCCUUUAGUCAAUCUUUUUGUUCAUUUCUUUAAUGUGGUGAUGUCAAACCUGUACAAACAUAAGUUACACAGUUCAUUUCCCUACUAGACUUGCUCUUCUACCUUCUGUGUAAAGUCAUCAUUUUCAAGAAUGCUAAGCAUGUAAAGUUGGGGACCACCUGUACUUUUGGAGGGUCACUUUGGUAGAACAACACUGGCACCUAGUGGCACGUGUUAUGAAGGGAAAUACCUCCCAAAGACAGGCCAUGCAGGAGUGCAAAUCCCCAUGGAUUUACCAAUUGGUCCUCAAGACUUGGGUUUGCUGGUCCAUAAUAACAUGCAUUUUAAUUGCACAAGUCACAGAGCUCCGGUUCUCAAAAAUAGUGUGAAGAAAAAAAAACACUGUGCUACCUUUUGAGACUACAACUACUAGUUUAUAAUAUUUUGCAGUGUAAUUGAUUAUAGGAAAUAAACUAAUGACUUAAUCAAUGGACAACAUCAUAUUGCCCAAUGUUUUUGAGUAGAUAUUAUAAGAAAAGAAUAAAAAAUCCACAAUCUUUUCAAGUCCUAGAGGAAUUUAGGGCCUAAUCAAGGUGACUAGAUGUUUAUUUUUCAAUUCAUACAUCCCAAAAUAUGUAUGGAUCCAUUCCAUGAGUUCUGUUUGAGGUACUGUGGGUAAAGAAAUAGGGCAAGCUCCCAGUCUUCCAGGGGAGGUCAAUCAACCAGUCAGUUAUCUUAUCUGCCCCAUAGAUGUAAAGGAAUAAAUAUGGGUGAGAAUUAUAGAAACAAAUCUUUUUUUUUUUUUUUUUUUUUUAAUGGA